rnacentral:rRNA from 1 species
UACAGAGGUGGCAAGCGUUGUUCGGAAUUACUGGGCGUAAAGGGCGCGUAGGCGGCCUUCUAAGUCAGACGUGAAAUCCCCCGGCUUAACCUGGGAACUGCGUCUGAUACUGGAGGGCUUGAGUGCGGGAGAGGGAUGUGGAAUUCCAGGUGUAGCGGUGAAAUGCGUAGAUAUCUGGAGGAACACCGGUGGCGAAGGCAGGUCUCUGGGCUGAAACUGACGCUCAUGCACGAAAGCGUGGGGAGCAAACAGG